ensembl:lncRNA
UGUCUCUCCUGGUUGGUUGGGUGGCAGGGAAGGGGUCGGGCCAAUGGGGUAUGACAGUGGAUCAUGUGCAAAUUGAAGAAGGAACAAAAGUGUCUCGUUUGUUUGCCUCUCUGUUCUCGGCAACAGUGGAAGAGUGAUUAGGCUCCUGUGGAUCGGGAAGAAAUUAUUCGGCGUGUCGAACAAAAGAUACGUUUUUCCCUCCAAACCUCUCCCAGAUCAAGAGCUCAGUGCCUCUUUCUCAACAGGAAAAGCUGCUGCCGAGCCUGGGAGGCUUCUGUGCGUCUCCCCGUGCUGGCUGGUCCCCUGGGAGGGAGGCGAGGCGGACUGACUGGCACCCAGUCUGCCAACCAGAUGAUGGAUCCUGCCAGGAAGGAUUGUGAUUUUGAUGGUGACAGGGAAGAGGUGGUGACGUGGGGUCUGGGCCAUGCACUGAACCUAAGGAUGAGGGGGCAUAAUGUGCAGAUGAGAGGAUCUGUGAGGGGCUUCUGGGAGGUGUGUGUGUAGUCUGUG